CGAUUGCGAAGGCAGCUUACUAAAGCGAUAGUGACGCUGAUGCGCGAAAGCGUGGGGAGCGAACAUGAUUACAUACCAUGGUAGUACACGCUGUAACAUAUGAUCACUCGAUGUUGGCAAUACAUCAGUCAGCGGUUGAGAGAAAGCAUUAAGCGCUGCACCUGGGGAGUACAGUCGCAAGAUUGAAUCUCAAAGGAAUAGACGCGGGCCCUCACAAGCGGUGGAACAUGUGGUGUAAUUCGGUGAUACGCGAGGAGCAUUUCGUGGGUUUAUAUGUAGAUGGCAUUUCCGGGAAACCGGAAUUUCGUUCGGGACCGUAUUCAAGGCGCUGCAUGGAUGUCUUCAGCUCGAACGCUGAGGUGUCGGGUGAAGUGCCAUAACGAGCGCAACCCCUAUCUUUAGUUACCAGCGAGUAAUGUGGGGGACUCUAGAGUAACGGCCGGGGUAAAGUGAGAGGAAGGUGGGUAAGACUUUAAAUCAGCACGGCCAUUAUGUCCAGGGUUACACACGUGUUACAAAGGUCAGUACAAAUGGCAGGUACCAGCCGACAGCAAAAUAAUCUAGAAAAAUGCCACCAGUUAUCAUUGGAGUCAACACUUCAAGGACAUGAUGCUGGAAUAGCUCGUAAUCGCGCAUCAGCUACGGCGCGCUGAAUCAUUUUACGCACCUUGUCACACCGCCCGUCAAGCCAAGGAACCUGGGGGUGCGUGAAGUCCGUAACCGAAAGGAUCGGCCUAAGCAAACCCGGUGACUGCGUUUAAGUCCUAACAAGGUAACCAAGGGCGAA
rnacentral:rRNA from 1 species